GAUGUGACCCUGCUGUUGUCUCAGGCGAACAGGAGAGUAUACAGAGCAGCAGACUCCUCUGAGUCCGGGAUCAGGUAUCUGGACCACAUCGAUAAAGUCCAGGAUGGACUGUUCCAGCUGCUGCUCAGGUUGCUGCACUUCCUGACUGACAACAUGGACCAACAGAAAUGUGGUGCUGCAUUGGGGGUCGUCUCUUUGCAGCUGCAAGAAACAGAAAGCGUGUUGUGCUGUCAGUGGGUGGCGGCCUCUCUGACCCGCUGAAAACCGUCAUCACUCAUGUUUACACCGCUACCAGUCUGCCACCCAGGAUCUCUGUGGGUCACCAUGGCAACUACCAGGUGACUCUGACAUCCCACAUCACACACACUCUCUGAGACAUAACCAAACUAAACCCGUCUUCCUGCGUGUCAGGUGACCCUGCAGCAGAGUCUGGAGCUCUCUGCAAUGGAACAGGAAGUGAUGUGUCAUUUGCUGCAGGUGAGAGAGGAGGUGGAGCAUUUCAGAGCAGGGUUGGACAGGUAUGCUCACUUGUGGAGGAAUAACAGAUGAUAGGUAAUGCAGGAGCUCCUGACCUACAGCAGACAGCUGGGACCUGAGGAGCUGGAGGGGCCCCGCCCACCCCGAAGGACUUCGAGAGAUGAGACACCUGGUCGAGUCACUCCACAGGCUGAGCAGUGAGGUGACUCACCUGGAUGAGGUCAUCGUUCUGCACGGCUGGCUGCAGGUCGACCUGCGACUCUUCAGAGACUCUCUGCUGUCACUCAUCCAUGACAGGAAUAGCAUGUACACAGACUACCUGCUCA